AAGGUUUUGAUUAGUUGAAAGCUCAGUUAACUGAAGUAUUAGUUCUGGUUUAGUCUGAAAUCCGGUGAAGAAACUUGUGAUUUACAGGGAUAGCAGUGUUUUGAUGCAAGAAAGAAAACUAAUGAAUCAUGUUUUGGAGAGUUAGAAUUACAUGAGAAGAAUUAUUUGAUACAUGUUGUCUUUGCACUAAGAGAUCAUGAUUUGAUAAUUGAAUAUCAUCUAGGAAAAAGCAAAUGGAGUUAUGAAUACUCAGCAUUGAAAGUUUUGCUUUGUGUUAUGAACGAUGAACACUCUAUUGUCAUUAUCUAAUGAUCGCUCAAUUC
rnacentral:lncRNA from 1 species